AGUGGGAUAGCUGGGUCACAUGGUGGUUCCAUUUCCAGUUUUCCAAGGAAUCUCCAUACUUCUUCCUAUACUGGCUGCACCAAUUUGUAGUCCUACUAGCAGU
rnacentral:pre_miRNA from 1 species